GAGUUUGAUCCUGGCUCAGAAUCAACGCUGGCGGCGCGCCUAACACAUGCAAGUCGAACGAGAAAGGGGAGCAAUCCCUGAGUAAAGUGGCGUACGGGUGAGUAACACGUGGGUUAUCUACCUCCUGGCGGGGAAUAACUCUGGGAAACCGGAGCUAAUACCGCAUAAGCCCGAAAGGGGAAAGCAGCAAUGCACCGGGAGAGGAGCCCGCGGCCGAUUAGCUAGUUGGUGAGGUAAUGGCUCACCAAGGCUACGAUCGGUAGCCGGCCUGAGAGGGCACACGGCCACACUGGCACUGAAACACGGGCCAGACUCCUACGGGAGGCAGCAGUGGGGAAUCUUGCACAAUGGGGGAAACCCUGAUGCAGCGACGCCGCGUGAGCGAUGAAGCCCUUCGGGGUGUAAAGCUCUUUCGACAGGAACGAUAAUGACGGUACCUGGAGAAGAAGCUGCGGCUAACUACGUGCCAGCAGCCGCGGUA
rnacentral:rRNA from 1 species